UACGUAGGUGGCAAGCGUUGUCCGGAUUUAUUGGGUUUAAAGGGUGCGUAGGCGGUCGGAUAAGUUAGAGGUGAAAUCCCGAGGCUCAACUUCGGAAUUGCCUCUGAUACUGUUCGGCUAGAGAGUAGUUGCGGUAGGCGGAAUGUAUGGUGUAGCGGUGAAAUGCUUAGAGAUCAUACAGAACACCGAUUGCGAAGGCAGCUUACCAAGCUACUUCUGACGUUGAGGCACGAAAGCGUGGGGAGCAAACAGG
rnacentral:rRNA from 1 species